rnacentral:rRNA from 1 species
GAAAGGAGCGAUCCGGACAGGGAUGGGCAUGCGGCGCAUUAGCUGGUCGGCGGGGUAACGGCCCACCGAGGCGACGAUGCGUAGGGGUUCUGAGAGGAAGGCCCCCCACACUGGUACUGAGACACGGACCAGACUCCUACGGGAGGCAGCAGUGAGGAAUAUUGGUCAAUGGGCGGGAGCCUGAACCAGCCAAGCCGCGUGAGGGAAGAAGGUACAGCGUAUCGUAAACCUCUUUUGUCAGGGAACAAAGGCGGGGACUAGUCCCCGGAUGAGGGUACCUGAAGAAAAAGCAUCGGCUAACUCCGUGCCAGCAGCCGCGGUAAUACGGAGGAUGCGAGCGUUAUCCGGAUUUAUUGGGUUUAAAGGGUGCGCAGGCGGCCUGUUAAGUCAGCGGUAAAAGCCCGGGGCUCAACCCCGGCGAGCCGUUGAAACUGGCGGGCUGGAGUUGGAGAGAAGUACGCGGAAUGCGCGGUGUAGCGGUGAAAUGCUUAGAUAUCGCGCAGAACCCCGAUUGCGAAGGCAGCGUACCGGCUCCACACUGACGCUGAGGCACGAAAGCGUGGGUAUCGAACAGGAUUAGAUACCCUGGUAGUCCACGCAGUAAACGAUGAAUGCUUGCUGUCCGG